rnacentral:piRNA from 1 species
UACAUCUCGUUCAAAUAUUUUAGGACUCCUG